rnacentral:lncRNA from 1 species
AUGGAUGGAAAAAUAAAUAAAUAUAAGAAAAGCAUUAGAUCGUGGCUACUUCUGAAGAUGGAUGAAAAAAUAAACAGACAAACAAAAGCAUUAGAUCGUGGCGACUUCCGAGGCCUGCCGGCUGGAGCGCGGGGCGGCGGGGGCGGCGGGGGCCCGGGGACCGCCGACCCCAGGCCCGGCGCGGGCCCGAGGCGCGCCCCGCUUCUCCUUCGCGUCCGCAGGCGCCGGCUCCCUGGGGACCUCCUGGGUGACGUCCCGUCGCUGCCUCCGGGGAGGGGAAGGUGUGCAGGAAACAGGCAGGUCCCCGAGAUGCAAAUCGCGGCUCCAGACCACCGGGGCGUCCGGCCCGCGGGCCCGCUCGGGUGCCCCGCGCCGCCCUGUCGCACGGUUUCCGGCGCCGCCGCAGGUGCGGGUCGGCGCGGAGACGCGGGAGGAGGAGGCGCGCUCACCCCGGAAACUGAAAGUCGCCCCCGCAGCCCGCGAGCGCGCGGGGGCCGCCCGGGACCCCAGGAGCCACGCUCAGAGCGCCGGCGAGGGCCGCGGGCCGACGCCGAGAGCCGCAGCCGCCCGCCGCCACGGCGGACGCCCCGGAAGUGCGCCCCCGCGCGCGGGCGGCGCAUGCGCCGAGCGAGGGGGCGGGUCGCGGCUGCCGCCGGAAGCACUCCCUCCCAGGCGGCGUUUCCUUCCGGUGCGAGGCUGGCCGACGGCUCCUGCUGCCUCAGUGUCCGCCCCGGGGUGAGUAGCGGGCUCCUCCGGGGCCUCGUGGGACGAGGCGGGAUGCCGCCCAGCUCCCGUGGGGGGCGGCCGGGAUCUGGGAGGCCGCGCGAGCAAGGUCACCGCGCCGCCCCCGCCCCCGGUGCCGACGCCGGCUUCCCGCAGCCCUUGGUUGGUGUCCCGCAGGUUCACCUCCAAGGGCGUCCCGGGCCUCGCUUGGCUUCCGGCCCGGCCUGGGCCCUGGGGGUCCCCCAGCGCGGCCCCUCGCUUGUGCCGGCGGGCGCGGGAGUCCCCGUGGGCGCGGCCCGGGCGGGCUCUGGCGGAGGACGGUGCUCGUGGUCACAGCCUGCCGUGAUCUCCGUGGCGGCCGGCGGGCGCGUCCCCGGGGCUGUCCCUGAUCCCGUCCCCGAUCCCGGCCGUGUCCCCGGUCCCGUCCCCGAGCCCGGCCCCGUCCCCGAGCCCGUCCCCGGCCCGUGUCCCCGGGUCCCGUCCCCGGGCUCGUCCCCGGCCGUGUCCCCGGUCCCGUCCCCGGGCUCGUCCCCGGCCGUGUCCCCGGUCCCGUCCCCGUCCCGCCCCCCGUCCCGUCCCCGGGGCUCCCUGCCUGCGGGGCUGGGCCUUCGGGGUCGGGAGACACUUCCCUCCGACCCUGCGGUGAACGAGGGCGGAGAGCCUGGGUCUCGCCCCGCCGGGUCGCCGUGCGCUCGCUGCCGUUUCCUGCCCAGACACGGAGCGCGGGUGAGACGCGAGCCCCUCGGGUCCCGUCCGCCGCACCUGCGGCCCCGCCCCGCGGAGCUCCUGCCGCGUUUCCUUCGCGUUCGUACGCGCCCGGCUGCGUAUCCCUGUUGGUGUUUCCCGCUGGCCGGACCGGAGUGCGCGGCGUCGGCCCCCGGCCUGUGGGUGCUGGGCGAGCGCACGGCGGAGCGCCUGCCCGGAGGCCGCCGGUAG